GCACCUACCGAUUGAAUGGUUCGGUGAAAAUCUCGGACUGCGGCUUGGAUGCCUUCGGGCAACCAAGCUGUGGAAAGUUGUUUAAACCUCAUCACUUAGAGGAAGGUGAAGUCGUAACAAGGUUUCCGUAGGUGAACCUGCAGAAGGAUCAAGAACGGAAGAGCGACGGGUAGGGAAAGAGAGUAGAUCGCGGGGGUCGCCGUACCAAUAAAAAAAAAAAAAAAUCAUGAACAGCAUCGUACUCAAGUGAAAUCAACAGUCACCACACUUGCUCCUC
rnacentral:misc_RNA from 1 species